rfam:Clostridium sp. CAG:352 genomic scaffold, scf80
GGGGAUGUAAAGGUUUCGACGGGGAAUGUAAGCUCCGGUAAGCGAGCAGCGGUGCGGAACCGCUAUAAAAUCCGCAACUUAAACAAUAAUUGACAACAAUAAAACUGUUGCUGUCGCUGCUUAAUUAAGCGCGACCGUCUAUUAUAGAAGUACCACGGUCUUUAAUAGGCGUCGAUUAGUGGUGAACGUGAACAGGGGAGUGCCUUGUACCUUGUCAUGACUUUAAGGAUACCGAGGUUGAUAGCCUGUCUUUGGGCGAUUAGCUGAGGGAAUUUUAAAACAAUGACUACGCUCGAAGAAAGCCGUUGUAAGCGUUUUUCGGACACGGGUUCAAUUCCCGUCAUCUCCACCA